UUACACUCUAAUCCCGUCUGUAUUUUAUCACACACGCUCCCACGGAUAGGUAUGCGUUCAUGACCCACCUAUGGUACAUGAAGCUGUGGUUGUGGAGAGGAAAUGAAAACCAAGCCGGUAUUGAUCUCAACCUUAUAACUAUCUGCUCUUUUAUCCUGCAUUCAAAUAAAUGGAAAUGCUAUACACAUUAUUGGUAACGAGGUGUGCACUUGGUAAAAAAAAAACAUCACCAGAAUAUGCUGAACAUUGUCGCAUUAAAAUCAUAAUCCUUGCUCAUAUGUAUUCAAAUCUUCAAAGCUUUAUUUCAAAGACACAGAACUUUGCUAUUUCUUGCCCAUUUCUGCGAUUGAGGUAUCAAUUUCAAGAACAGAUGUUGACACCUUUAGACUUGUGAUUUUCUUCUGGAAGUUUAGGUACCACUUGCCAAAUGACUUUUUUUGUAUCCAUCCUUCCUUCAAAUUGUUUUACUCACUCAUGCGUGAAUGAUGAAUUAGAAUGUUUAUAGCAGAUAAAAGAGGAGACUCUUAAGCUUUACAAUGAUUUGCCAUUUGUCUAUUUUAUUUCUGAAUAAGUUAUGUCAUCAAGAAUUCUAGGAUUCAUUUUUUUGAGAGACGCACUUUAUAAAUCACAGUAAGAUUUUAGUAGUUUGUAGUGAUAAAAGGCGACAUAAACAGGACUGUGGGUGCAAUAUAACUCCAAAAGCAAGCAAAGUCAGCUAUGUAUAUGUAUUUGAUCAAAUAUACAGUCACUGGCGGAUCCAGGGGGGGGGGCACAGCCAGCCUGUGCCCCCCCCCCCCCUUGAGAGGCACAAUUAAAUUUUUUAAUUGUAAAUAUGCCCUUAAAAUGCAAGUGAAAGUAAGGACCUUAUUUUUUUUUUUGCUUGUCAAACUUUCCUUGGGAAAAUGUGCCCCCCCCCCCUUGGAAAAUCCUGGAUCUGCCGCUGUAUACAGUGGUGCUAAAAUUUGAACUCCAUAAAAAAAUGCACUACUUCAUGCUGAGUGUUGAACUUGAAUGUAGACAACAACACUACAAUAUCUGGUGAGCCCAGAGAAACAGGCAUUAUUGAAUGUUAUAUUUUUAUCACCUGACUUCACAAUUAACUGUCUAAAACAUGGUUAAACUUGAACAUUUUAUAUAUGUUCAUUUUCUGGUGGGGUUCACUAACUUUUUAGCACCACUGCAUGUAAGAUUUCAUAAUCUACAUAAAUACAUAUACCGCAUUUGCAUAAUGAAUUUAACACCUCUACAAAGAGAAGAAAUGCUUUUUCCCCCUCCUUCACUUGUAUGAUAAAUAUAUAAUAUAGGGUGGAAUUAAUAGGAUUACUGAUGCAAGGCGAGUUUGUAACAUCUAAAAUCCAAGAUAGUUUCCCCCGGUUUAGAUAAGAAAUACCUACAGAAGGAUUAUCCUGUUUCAAAACAUUCCUUUGUGACCAUGUUUUUACGAAUUCAAAAUAAAAAUAAAUUAAAAUUAAUAAAAAUAUAUUGUUAUUUUUUCUCUUAUCUCUCUCUCUCUUAACUCUUUCUCCCUCCUCUUACCUCUUUCUCCCUCCUCUUACCUCUCUCUCUCUCUCCCUCCCCCUUCCUCUGUUUUUUUUUUCUCUCUCUCUCUAACUUCCUCUCUUUUGAAAUACUUUCUUAGUAAACUUUAAUGUGCAAUUUGUUAUAAGCAAGUUAGGUAAAAAUGUAUACAUGUUUGAAAAUGAUAUAUAUAAUAUUGAUUUGAAUGUAUGGGCGUCUAUGAAAUACUGUUACAAAACUUUGAAGUAUUCAUUUAGCACACAUUAUGUAACCAACUUACUGUAAGAAUUAAUGUACAUAAUGUAGCAAAUAUUCAAUGUACAUGGUGCACACUGAAGCAUACGUAAGCACAAAUAAAUCUGUUCCACUUAUUUAUCCAUCUCUUAAAUAAGGAAUGUAAACAUUUUAUUUUUGUAAUGCCACUUGCUCUAAACGCCUUGGAAAAAGCCAAAGAAUGAUGUGUAUUAAUCAUUUCCAGUCACAAUUUACUUUUAUAGAUACAUAGAUACAUGUAGUUACAUACCAUAUUUAUAUUUCACAUGGCAAUAAAAUAUAUUAUGCUGAGUACUAAUAAGCUGUGAUGCUUUUGAAUUAUUUGAUAUGCUGAAAUAUGGUUAAGCAAUCUUGAUGAAAAUAAAUGGCUAUAUUGUUGACUGCAA